UUAAGCGACUAAGCGUACACGGUGGAUGCCCUGGCAGUCAGAGGCGAUGAAGGACGUGCUAAUCUGCGAUAAGCGCCGGUAAGGUGAUAUGAACCGUUAUAACCGGCGAUUUCCGAAUGGGGAAACCCAGUGUGAUUCGUCACACUAUCAUUAACUGAAUCCAUAGGUUAAUGAGGCGAACCGGGGGAACUGAAACAUCUAAGUACCCCGAGGAAAAGAAAUCAACCGAGAUUCCCCCAGUAGCGGCGAGCGAACGGGGAGGAGCCCAGAGCCUGAAUCAGCAUGUGUGUUAGUGGAAGCGUCUGGAAAGGUGCGCGAUACAGGGUGACAGCCCCGUACACAAAAGCGCAUGUGCUGUGAGCUCGAUGAGUAGGGCGGGACACGUGGUAUCCUGUCUGAAUAUGGGGGGACCAUCCUCCAAGGCUAAAUACUCCUGACUGACCGAUAGUGAACCAGUACCGUGAGGGAAAGGCGAAAAGAACCCCGGCGAGGGGAGUGAAAAAGAACCUGAAACCGUGUACGUACAAGCAGUGGGAGCACAGGUUUACCUGUGUGACUGCGUACCUUUUGUAUAAUGGGUCAGCGACUUAUAUUCUGUAGCAAGGUUAACCGAAUAGGGGAGCCGGAGGGAAACCGAGUCUUAAUUGGGCGUUAAGUUGCAGGGUAUAGACCCGAAACCCGGUGAUCUAGCCAUGGGCAGGUUGAAGGUUGGGUAACACUAACUGGAGGACCGAACCGACUAAUGUUGAAAAAUUAGCGGAUGACCUGUGGCUGGGGGUGAAAGGCCAAUCAAACCGGGAGAUAGCUGGUUCUCCCCGAAAGCUAUUUAGGUAGCGCCUCGUGAAUUCAUCUCCGGGGGUAGAGCACUGUUUCGGCUAGGGGGCCAUCCCGGCUUACCAACCCGAUGCAAACUGCGAAUACCGGAGAAUGUUAUCACGGGAGACACACGGCGGGUGCUAACGUCCGUCGUGAAGAGGGAAACAACCCAGACCGCCAGCUAAGGUCCCAAAGUCAUGGUUAAGUGGGAAACGAUGUGGGAAGGCCCAGACAGCCAGGAUGUUGGCUUAGAAGCAGCCAUCAUUUAAAGAAAGCGUAAUAGCUCACUGGUCGAGUCGGCCUGCGCGGAAGAUGUAACGGGGCUAAACCAUGCACCGAAGCUGCGGCAGCGAACGUAUCACCCAAGACAACUUUACGGAGUUGACGAUUGACGGAGCGAAGCGACGUCAAAGCGUUCAUUAAAGUCGAGUUGGCUUAGGGAUACGUUCGUUGGGUAGGGGAGCGUUCUGUAAGCCUGUGAAGGUGUGUCGUGAGGCAUGCUGGAGGUAUCAGAAGUGCGAAUGCUGACAUAAGUAACGAUAAAGCGGGUGAAAAGCCCGCUCGCCGGAAGACCAAGGGUUCCUGUCCAACGUUAAUCGGGGCAGGGUGAGUCGACCCCUAAGGCGAGGCCGAAAGGCGUAGUCGAUGGGAAACGGGUUAAUAUUCCCGUACUUGGUGUUACUGCGAAGGGGGGACGGAGAAGGCUAUGUUGGCCGGGCGACGGUUGUCCCGGUUUAAGCGUGUAGGUGUGUGUUCCAGGUAAAUCCGGUUCACUUUAACACUGAGGCGUGAUGACGAGGCACUACGGUGCUGAAGCAACAAAUGCCCUGCUUCCAGGAAAAGCCUCUAAGCAUCAGGUAACAUCAAAUCGUACCCCAAACCGACACAGGUGGUCAGGUAGAGAAUACCAAGGCGCUUGAGAGAACUCGGGUGAAGGAACUAGGCAAAAUGGUGCCGUAACUUCGGGAGAAGGCACGCUGACACGUAGGUGAAGUGAUUUACUCACGGAGCUGAAGUCAGUCGAAGAUACCAGCUGGCUGCAACUGUUUAUUAAAAACACAGCACUGUGCAAACACGAAAGUGGACGUAUACGGUGUGACGCCUGCCCGGUGCCGGAAGGUUAAUUGAUGGGGUCAGCGCAAGCGAAGCUCCUGAUCGAAGCCCCGGUAAACGGCGGCCGUAACUAUAACGGUCCUAAGGUAGCGAAAUUCCUUGUCGGGUAAGUUCCGACCUGCACGAAUGGCGUAAUGAUGGCCAGGCUGUCUCCACCCGAGACUCAGUGAAAUUGAACUCGCUGUGAAGAUGCAGUGUACCCGCGGCAAGACGGAAAGACCCCGUGAACCUUUACUAUAGCUUGACACUGAACAUUGAGCCUUGAUGUGUAGGAUAGGUGGGAGGCUUUGAAGUGUGGACGCCAGUCUGCAUGGAGCCGACCUUGAAAUACCACCCUUUAAUGUUUGAUGUUCUAACGUGGACCCGUAAUCCGGGUUGCGGACAGUGUCUGGUGGGUAGUUUGACUGGGGCGGUCUCCUCCUAAAGAGUAACGGAGGAGCACGAAGGUUGGCUAAUCCUGGUCGGACAUCAGGAGGUUAGUGCAAUGGCAUAAGCCAGCUUGACUGCGAGCGUGACGGCGCGAGCAGGUGCGAAAGCAGGUCAUAGUGAUCCGGUGGUUCUGAAUGGAAGGGCCAUCGCUCAACGGAUAAAAGGUACUCCGGGGAUAACAGGCUGAUACCGCCCAAGAGUUCAUAUCGACGGCGGUGUUUGGCACCUCGAUGUCGGCUCAUCACAUCCUGGGGCUGAAGUAGGUCCCAAGGGUAUGGCUGUUCGCCAUUUAAAGUGGUACGCGAGCUGGGUUUAGAACGUCGUGAGACAGUUCGGUCCCUAUCUGCCGUGGGCGCUGGAGAACUGAGGGGGGCUGCUCCUAGUACGAGAGGACCGGAGUGGACGCAUCACUGGUGUUCGGGUUGUCAUGCCAAUGGCACUGCCCGGUAGCUAAAUGCGGAAGAGAUAAGUGCUGAAAGCAUCUAAGCACGAAACUUGCCCCGAGAUGAGUUCUCCCUGAGACUUAGAGUCUCCUGAAGGAACGUUGAAGACGACGACGUUGAUAGGCCGGGUGUGUAAGCGCAGCGAUGCGUUGAGCUAACCGGUACUAAUGAACCGUGAGGCUUAACCUU
rnacentral:rRNA from 1 species